rnacentral:lncRNA from 1 species
UCAGGUGCACCCUGGUGAAAAGCACAGCGAACUUCAGGUUUAUACCACCAAGGAAGUUGUUCUGGAAUCUGCGGUGGAUUCCUCGGUUGAAUCAAGUUUUUGAGGACCAAUGAUGGGUACAGUUCUGCGUAUGACAUAGGAAUCGGGUCAAAAGAGACCUUUUCCUCUCAAAAUUAUGUUGCUGGCGAUGAUUUUUUUUUGGAAUUGUUGUUGUUGUAGGUGUUUGUUAUUUGUUGCGGUUGU